rnacentral:lncRNA from 1 species
GGAUGAUGCUUUUUUUGUGUGGUUUCCCUGGGAUAGGCAUGGCAAGACUCAGAGUUUCUUCUCAAAUGUACACUGAUAAAUACUCAACUGAAGAUUCAACUGAAAUCCUCUAUGGGUCUCCAGACUCCCCCAUUCUGGAACUCUUCCCUGCAAAUUCCAGCUGCCUAAACUCCCUUCCAUCUCUCAGUUUCUCUAUAACUGAGGAACACCGUCAGGCUCCAGCUGGAUUUUCCUUCCUUGUGCACUGAUCUGGAAAGUCUUUCACAUCAGUAAGUGAGGGAAAUCAUAGAGUUCUCCUGGAUAGAAGAGGCCCUGGUUAGCAGCUUCAGAUGAUGGAUACAUAAAAAUGGGAGAGAGAAAACAUAUAAGAGUGACUAAUUGUUGAGUUUCCAGGGCUCAAACCAAUCUUGAAUUGGAAUUUCAAGACAUAAAAACCACUGCAGGAACCUGCUGGAGAAACGGCCUCUGGUAUCUCUAUCUGAAAUAUGAUUAUCUUAAGUUCGCAAAGCAUUGUGUCUGCAGUGUGAGUUUGAAAACAACAAUGUUAAGGCAACUUCGCAGCUUCUUAAUCAAGCCCUUCUCCAUCUCUCCGUGUGGUUUUUGGGGUGGUGGAGGUGGAGCCAAAAAAGAGAGGGCAGUUUCCCAGGGCUGAAGAUGCUACCAUGACUCAUAGGAUCUAUGCAAACCCUGUGAGUGAAUUCUGAGGAAGAAGAAUGAGUAAUAUUUUGAUUUUAUUACUGAUGGUAAUAAGAUAGUAUCAUCAGUGUGGUAUAUUCUGAUUACUGAAUUCUAUUCCCUAUUUUCUUCCUGUGGCCAAAUAAAAUUUGUGUGUGUAAGCUAUGAUAUUUAGUGUUGUUAUCUGAUGAGACAGGUUUAGUGGAAAAGUUCAUUUUAAAUAAACAUUAAAAUUGUUUCAGCCUCAGAUUUUUAAUCCAAAUCAUUCCUUUGACACCAGAAGAAUUUUCCUCAGAGUCAACUCCAAAGAUAAAGCUGCCUGUUUUCCUAUUUGCCCAGAAGUAAAGAGGUUGCAAAA